rnacentral:rRNA from 1 species
CAGAACGUCGUAAGACAGUUCGGUCUCUAUCUAUUACACGCGCAGGAUGUCUGCGGAGAUAUGUCCCUAGUACGAGAGGACCGGGAUAUACGAACCAAUGGUGUUCCAGUUGUCGCGCCAGCGGCAGUUGCUGGGUAGCUAAGUUCGGAAAGGAUAAGCGCUGAAUGCAUAUAAGCGCGAAGCCUCCUCCAAGAUUAGACAUCCCCUCCUUCGGGAGAUAAGGUACCUUGUAGAUGACGAGGUUGAUAGGCCGGGGGUGUAAGGCCCGUAAGGGUUUUAGCUGACCGGUACUAAUCUACCGAACGGCUUGACCAC